GGACCUCUUCAUAAACACUAUGUAAAACAGUGUCUGUCAUAUAGUAGGUGCUUAAUAAAUAUUUAUUGAUAUGAAAACUGCAGGUGUGAACAUUUGAUGCCCCAUCAAGUGACUAUGUUACCAACAGGUGAUCAAAUAAGCCAGAGUAAAUCUAUUAAGAAAAUUCCUAAAGGGACUAAGGAAUGGGGAAUGAAGUUGAAAAUUAAGAGAUUAUCUCUGGAUUUCAGUUCCCUAAUUUGUAAAAUGAAGAUUUUGGACUACAUAAUCUUUAAGCAAGAAAAAACAAUGGAAUUAGAGGACAGACUCUGGCCAGCUCUGCUGCUGACUUUAUAAAAGAUCAUGAACAGAUCAGUCUCUUUCUCUGGGCUUCAUCUAUAAUAAGGGCACAGGACUAGAUUGUUUCUGAAGUCCCAUCCAACUGUAUAAAUGAUCCUUACAAUUCUAAAUCUAUGAUAAGCAUCUGUAAUUAUGUGUGAAGGGAGGGUCAGAGGAAAAUAAAGAAAGAAGGGAUGGUUACAUAUUUCCAUGCCAUCUAUUCAGGAUAGGAUACCCAGGUAUCCUAUCAAGUAUAAUCAGUAUUAUUGUUGAGAAGGAGGAAGAGGAGGACACAGUACAAAGCCAAGAUCAGGGGCCAGAAGUGAGAUAAAAGCCUUCCACAGUCUGAGAAUCCAUAAACUGUUGUGACCUAGGGAGAGGCAAAACCUCUAAGCCAAGUACAAUCAGAAGACCAGAGGAGUGAGGAGAUACAGUGGUGGAGUCUCCUGCAUUGGGGAUUCUUUUUCUUUUUUCAGGCCCAAAUAAACACAGUCUGGCCCAUCCCCUGACUCAGAGAAACCCCUUUCUUAUGCCCUCUCUGUACCUUUUUGUCUUGUCCCAAAACAGGAACAGUGUGUUCCUAGUCUGCCUACUCCCCAGCAUUACCUUCUCCACCCAAGCCCAGCCUAACUCUGACUGAUGCAGGUAGCCCCAAAUCUGUGCGGUCCCUAUUGGGAUGUGUGAGGGAGUGGGAGGCUGGGGGCGAUGCCCCAAGUUCUCUAUUUUCCAGGCUAGGCGUGGGACAGUCUCUUUUCAGGUACAUGCCUGAGGGGUCUGUAGGUACACACUCUCCCAGCACGAGAAUUUGGGCGGGUGUGGGAGGGAGGGGGAGGAAGAGACAGGGUGUGAGAGGAGGAAGCGUGAGGCGGGGGAGUGGGGGGAGAGGACUGUCCCCUGGGCUGGGGGAGAGGACUGUCCCCUGGGCGGGGAGCGAGCCUCGCCCAGCAGGGAGAUGGGGGCUCCGACGGUCGGCCUCCGAGGAAGCGCCGGGGACAGAGCCGGCGAGGCUCCGGGGGCCCAGGAACUUGCCCCCCUCGGCCCCGCCUGUAACUGCCGUGUGUGUGUCGGGUCUCCGAGCUGCGCUGACCGCAGGCUGCAGGAGCGGUUUAUCUGGUGAGCGAGCACACCCGCUUCCCCAGCUGCUGAGUCAGGCUGUUCUUGCACUCGCUCCCUGCUCGGUACAUUGUGUUCCAGCCCCGGCUCCCUGGCCCCGAGCCCAGCUGCUCACAUCAGCUUCUCACUUGUUUGUGUUCGCAGCUUGCACUGUGCCUGGCUCAGAGUACAGCCGCCCCC
rnacentral:lncRNA from 1 species